UCGACGGAGUUGUUAUUCAGAAGUUCUUCGGGAUGGAAGGAUAAGAACUUAGUGGCGGACGGGUGAGUAACGCGUGGGUAACCUGCCCUUUUGUGGGGAACAACUUCGAGAAAUCGGAGCUAAUACCGCAUAAUAAUAGAGGAUCGCAUGAUUCUUUAAGGAAAGAUGGCCUCUGAAGAUGCUAUCGCAAAAGGAUGGACCCGCGUCUGAUUAGCUAGUUGGAAGGGUAACGGCCUACCAAGGCAACGAUCAGUAGCCGGCCUGAGAGGGUGAACGGCCACAUUGGGACUGAGACACGGCCCAAACUCCUACGGGAGGCAGCAGUGGGGAAUCUUCCGCAAUGGGCGAAAGCCUGACGGAGCAAUGCCGCGUGAGUGAAGAAGGCCUUCGGGUUGUAAAACUCUGUCCUUAUCGAAGAGAGGUAGGUAUGUGAAUAAUGUACCUAUAGGACGGUAGAUAAGGAGGAAGCCCCGGCUAACUACGUGCCAGCAGCCGCGGUAAUACGUAGGGGGCGAGCGUUGUCCGGAAUCACUGGGCGUAAAGGGCGCGUAGGCGGUUUAAUAAGUCAGUGGUGAAAACUGAGGGCUCAACCCUCAGCCUGCCACUGAUACUGUUAGACUUGAGUAUGGAAGAGGAGAAUGGAAUUCCUAGUGUAGCGGUGAAAUGCGUAGAUAUUAGGAGGAACACCAGUGGCGAAGGCGAUUCUCUGGGCCAAGACUGACGCUGAGGCGCGAAAGCGUGGGGAGCAAACAGGAUUAGAUACCCUGGUAGUCCACGCCGUANACGAUGGAUACUAGGUGUUAGUNGUUUCGAUGCUACUAGUGCCGGAGUAAACACAAUAAGUAUCCCGCCUGGGGAGUACGGUCGCAAGACUGAAACUCAAAGGAAUUGACGGGG
rnacentral:rRNA from 1 species